UUUGAUGAUUUUCAGCGAACCCACUUAUGACAGAAAAAUAAACUGGAACUACAGCAAUAUCUUGACCGUUUGGUUGACAUGCCGCGCCGGAAUGGCGUAUCGAUCGUAUACGCAUGACGACACACCAGGCCACUACUCGUGGCUCCUCCACGCAUAUACGCUUGAGCUUGAGAACAAAAACCUUCAAUUCAAUUCAACAAAACAUAAACUAGAGAAACAUCAAAAGCUAAACAAUUAACAGGUCUAGACACCUUCACCGAUGCUACAGUCCAGUCCACACUAGCACUACCACAGAAUCUAGUGCUAUGUUAAACGCACAAGCGCAGAAGUUCAAACUGUACUUUAACACACACACCUCUGAGCUAAGGCUGUGUUAUGUACUUUAUAUAUUUUUAUGAAUAUAUGCAUGGAGAGAUUUCUGGUAAGCGCCAUCUGGAUACAAGUGCACAAGCGCGUCGAGCCCUCGGGGUUAUGUGUAUGUAUUUCGCGACCUCGUUCAAUGUAUACAGUCGCGACGGACCUCCUCCCCCACCGACUUGUCGUCUACCCUGCUCCCUAUGUAAAAUCUAAGUAUAUAUGUAAUAUAUAUGAUAUAUGUAUGUGCGCCAAUACAGCGGGGAGUUUAUGCCACAGGCUGUAGGCGCAGAGGGGUCGGUACAUACAUAUUCAUCGAGGGAUAUAUACAUAUAUCACUCUAUAAAAUUUGGCAGACUCGAGACCCUCGGGGCAAAAUAUAACCAGAAGCAGAGACAGAUGAUGAGUAUAAGGUAUAAGAUAAAGCAUGCUUCUUAUUCUGGUUUAUAAGUUUAAGCAGAAGCCAAAGAUUCUGUGUGACGUGACCGUGUUCGGAGCCGAGGAUUAUACAUAGAGCAGAAUGAUUUGUGUAUAUAAAUAUACAGAAGAUACUAAUGCGAUGAAGAAGAGCAAGAAGUUAAAUGUUAAGUUAAGAGAGUGACAUCGGGUGAACCCCAAGUCAUAUCACCGCUAAGAAUUCUCAGCCUAAAAUUGUCACACCCGUGACUCAUUCACACAACAAACUUUUAUCUUUAAUUGUAUAAAUACACGUUAUUAAUUAAUCGACUCAUUAACUUCAUUAUAUUUUACAACUCUGCUACGCGUGAUUUAUUUUCAACUGCUGAUAGAUAAUAUAUAUGAUAUAUGUUUUCGAGCUAAAUCAGUAAACAAUAACCGAUUGCUGAUUUAAAUAUUUUUACAUUUUGUUAUCGCUGUUAUGUAUUUUCGCGCUCAAGUCGUUAUUUGUUUUUUAUUAACAAACACGCCUUUGACAAUAUAGUACUAUCUGUCGACAUUAAUUAAAUUUUUAAUAUUUUAAGUAUACAUCAUAAUU